AUUGGCCUUUAUAUAGCGCCAACGUAUUCCGCAGCGCUUUACAAUAUUAUAAAGGGGGAAAUGUGACAAUAAAUUAAAUCAUAUUAUUGUCGCUUUCCGUGAGAGAGUAGAAUGAUUUAAAACGGCAAGUCCUAUCAUGCGGCCGCUGUCCACAAACGCCAUCUCUGCCUGCUGAAUUAACCCUUGCCAUCACUUCUGGUUGGGACUAAUUAAUGAGUCUUUGUUAGCCCCAGCACGACGCUCAGUUCUCUAGCUUUCUAGAGUUUCAGAAACUUUCUAGACAUUCCUAGCAUUCUGCCACAUCCUGCACAAACAGUGGUCCUACACAAGGCUUUCUGUUAUACUGCAUUUAUAGGAUAAAUUAAAGGGACAGUGCAGGCAUGUUCUCCACAUAUUAAUGCUCACGGCAUUAUAACUUACCCGAACUUAAAGAUGCGCUCUAAGAACCAUAAUCACCGCAAAGCACAACUAUAUCAUUUAAGCAGUCAUAAAAUUAACUUUUAAAAAGACAUUCCAUGACUGGAGGUGGCCACUCUUUAAAAUGCUAUAUAAUGAUAACGCAUUAAACCACGCAAAAAACGACCUAACUUAAAGGAAGGGAGGGAGGUGGUUUGUCCCAGACCAAGAGGAGGCUCCAUCAAUCAGGAGUCUCUCAUUGUGGACAGCAGGGGUUUAUGGGUAUGGAAUCCAGGCUAAUAACAAUCUAAUAACAGACAUUGUGUGGCUGCCAAAUGCCUAUUCGCAGUCUCUUUACAGUGUUUGUUCGACUCUAGAACAGUUUCUGGAGCUGAGGAGAGAGGUGCGGAGUUUGCUUCCACCCAACAUGCUUUCUAGCCAGCAUUUUUUAUAUAUGCAAUUUUUUGGCAACACAAUGUUUUCUUGAUUUUUUUGCCACUUUUUCCAAAAGAAAAGUUGGACAAUUUUCC